ACAAACUUGGUCAUUUAGAGGAAGUAAAAGUCGUAACAAGGUUUCCGUAGGUGAACCUGCGGAAGGAUCAUUAUUGAAUAUUCUUGAUAGGUUUGUAGCUGGUUCCCAAGGGGAGCAUGUGCACAGCCUGUCUUGACUAAAUUCAUCCACCUGUGCACCUUUUGUAGUCUUUUGUGAGUUUGAUCAGUGGCUAAUCUUGGUCGCAAGGCCAGCUUGUGAGGACUUGGCUGCCUCUGUGGUGGGCAUUUCUCUGCGUCACAAAAAUCUCUCAAGGGACUAUGUAUUUUAUCACAAACCUCUGUAGUAUGUUGCCAGCAUGUAAGGAAUAGGCCUCAUCGGUCCUUAUUCAACUAUAUACAACUUUCAGCAACGGAUCUCUUGGCUCUCGCAUCGAUGAAGAACGCAGC
rnacentral:misc_RNA from 1 species